rnacentral:rRNA from 1 species
UACAGAGGUCUCAAGCGUUGUUCGGAUUCAUUGGGCGUAAAGGGUGCGUAGGUGGCGCCGUAAGUCAGGUGUGAAAUUUCGGAGCUUAACUCCGAAACUGCAUUUGAUACUGCGGUGCUUGAGGACUGGAGAGGAGACUGGAAUUCACGGUGUAGCAGUGAAAUGCGUAGAUAUCGUGAGGAAGACCAGUGGCGAAGGCGAAUCCCUGGAAAUACCUGACACUGAGGCACGAAAGCUAGGGAGCAAACAGG